UACGUAGGGUGCGAGCGUUGUCCGGAAUUAUUGGGCGUAAAGAGCUCGUAGGCGGUGUGUCACGUCGGCCGUGAAAACCUGCAGCUUAACUGUGGGCGUGCGGUCGAUACGGGCAUCACUGGAGUUCGGCAGGGGAGACUGGAAUUCCUGGUGUAGCGGUGAAAUGCGCAGAUAUCAGGAGGAACACCGGUGGCGAAGGUGGGUCUCUGGGCCGAUACUGACGCUGAGGAGCGAAAGCGUGGGGAGCAAACAGG
rnacentral:rRNA from 1 species